GGUAGUCCACGCCGUAAACGAUGUCGACUUGGAGGUUGUGCCCUUGAGGCGUGGCUUCCGGAGCUAACGCGUUAAGUCGACCGCCUGGGGAGUACGGCCGCAAGGUUAAAACUCAAAUGAAUUGACGGGGGCCCGCACAAGCGGUGGAGCAUGUGGUUUAAUUCGAUGCAACGCGAAGAACCUUACAUACUCUUGACAUCCAGAGAACUUAGCAGAGAUGCUUUGGUGCCUUCGGGAACUCUGAGACAGGUGCUGCAUGGCUGUCGUCAGCUCGUGUUGUGAAAUGUUGGGUUAAGUCCCGCAACGAGCGCAACCCUUAUCCUUUGUUGCCAGCGGUUCGGCCGGGAACUCAAAGGAGACUGCCAGUGAUAAACUGGAGGAAGGUGGGGAUGACGUCAAGUCAUCAUGGCCCUUACGAGUAGGGCUACACACGUGCUACAAUGGCGCAUACAAAGAGAAGCGACCUCGCGAGAGCAAGCGGACCUCAUAAAGUGCGUCGUAGUCCGGAUUGGAGUCUGCAACUCGACUCCAUGAAGUCGGAAUCGCUAGUAAUCGUAGAUCAGAAUGCUACGGUGAAUACGUUCCCGGGCCUUGUACACACCGCCCGUCACACCAUGGGAGUGGGUUGCAAAAGAAGUAGGUAGCUUAACCUUCGGGAGGGCGCUUACCACUUUGUGAUUCAUGACUGGGGUGAAGUCGUAACAAGGUAACCGUAGGGGAACCUGC
rnacentral:rRNA from 1 species